UUCUUUAUAUAUUAUGGAUAUUAACCUCUUAUUCAAUAUAUAGUUCGCAAAUAUUUUCUCACAUUCCGUAGGUUGCUUUUUCAUUUUGUUGAUUAUUUUACAGAGCAGAAGAUUUUUAGUCAACAAAAUAUUAGCAAACUGAAUCCAGCAGUACAUUAAAAGUAUCAUACACCAUAAUCAGGUGGAGUUUAUACCUGGGAUGCAAGGAUUUUUCCACAUACAUGAAUCAAUAAAUGUGAUACACAACAAUAAUAGAAUGAAAGAUAAAACUCACAUGAUCAUCUCAAUAGAUGAAGAAAAAAAGCAUUUGACAAAAUACAACACCAUGUCAUGAUAAAAACCCUCAACAAAUUGGAUAUAGAAUAUAUAUCCUAUACAUCAAUAUAAGGUCAUAUGAAAUAAACCCACAGCUAACAUCAUGCUCAAAGGUGAAAGACUGAAAGUUUUUCCUCUAAGAUCAGGAACAAGACAAGGAUUCCCACUCUCACCAUUCUUAUUCAACAUAUUACCAGAAGUCCAACUAGAGCAAUUAGGCAAGAAAAAAAAUAAAAGGCAUCCAAGUCAGAAGGGAAGAAGGUUAUCAUUAUUUGCAGAGAUAUUAUCUUAUAUAUAGAAAAUUAAAGAUUCAGUGAAAAAAACUGUUGGAACUAAUCAACAAACUCAGUAAAGUUGCAAGAUAUACAAUCAAAAUAUAGAAAUCAGUUGCAUUUCUAUACACUAAAAAUGAAAUAACUGAAAAAGAAAUAAUCCCAUUAGCAAAAGCAUCAAAAACAAUGAAAUACUUAGGAAUAAAUAAUAAUUUAUUGAUCAUUUACUAUAUGCCAUGGAUGUGAAUAAGUGUUUGUAUAUGCAUAAACUCUUUUAAUCUGUAAUCUUAUGAAUUGCUAUUAUUAUCUUUUCCAUUUAAUAAGUUAGAGGACUGAAGAUCAGAGAGGUAAAGUAAUUUGCUCAAGGUCACAGAGCUAGUUAAUGAUAGCACUGGCACCCAGAUCUGUUGCCAAAGCUCUUAAUCACUCCUCCAUUCUGCUUUAGUGUAAGAACUUGCAGGUAUAAUCUAAGUUUAUUUUAAAGCAGUACUUCAGUAGAACAUCCGAAGCCUUUUUAAAACAGAGAUAUAAAAUGGCUUCUCCAUGAAUCCUGCUAUGUUGUAAUUUUUUUUAAUGCAGAAGUUAUAUUUAAAAAACUAAGAUACCAUAAGAUAGAGUAGAAAAGAUUAUAUGGUAUGAUGUAUUUGAUUAAUAAACAUUAGUUCACAUUUAUUAAAUUCAUUUGUCUGCCACUAUGAAGAGUUUGAUAAAUAGUAAUUAACUUUACAAAGGUACAAAAGUUCCUCUUCCACUGUUCUUGAUGAAGGCACUCUUUACUGGGUCCCUUCUCUUUAUUCACUCAUUACCAUGGUACCUUGCCUGGAGGUUGCACUUAUUACUCUUAAUAUGAAUGUGCUAAUUUCUCCUGCUCUGUACAAAAGAAAAAAAUAUUUACAAAGAAAAAAAAAGUGGAGACAUUUCUUCAUUCCUCAUUCCAAAUUAUGAAUACAGUAUUAAUGGAGCUAGGUGUCCCAACUCAAACUCUGAUCAGAGAGAAGAACAGCUAAACACAAACUAUCUCUGAUACUCAGCUUGGGAGAAGCUACGAAGGGAUUUGAUUCAUUCAGCAAUUAUAUUCUGAGGGGCUACUCAUUCCAAGCACUGUGCUAAGGUCCAGGGAUGCAAAAAUGAGUAAACAUGCUGCUGCUCUCAAGAAAGUCUCCUCUCCUGAGCAAUCGACCUACAGGCCAGAGAAGGGGAUAGAACAUGUUUAAAAUUUCCUUUUCAGGGCUUCCCUGGUGGUGCAGUGGUUGGGAGUCCGCCUGCCGAUGCAGGGGACAUGGGUUCGUGCCCCAGUCCGGGAAGAUCCCACAUGCCGUGGAGCGGCUGGUCUCGUGAGCCAUGGCCGCUGAGCCUGCACGUCCGGAGCCUGUGCUCCGCAAUGGGAGAGGCCACAACAGUGAGAGGUCCGCGUACCACAAAAAAAAAAAAAAAAAAAAAAAAUUCCUUUUCAGGCUUUAUUUUUAAUGUCGUAUUGUGUUUCUAUGGGUUUUGAACAUUGUAACUGUCUCAAUCUUGAAAAUAAAGGUGUUGAUUGUAAACACAUAUCCAUACUGUGGCCAAAUGCAGAAAGUAAGUUACUAUUUUUAAAGUUGUUGAUGAGCUCUAGCUUAAAAAUGCAUAUAAAUGCAUAUAUACAUGCAUACAUUACACAUAUCAAGCACAAGGUUUUUAUUUUAAAUUGAAGAAAAAAGGAAUAAAACAAAUAGUGAGUCCUGGAAAAUAUAUUGACAACAUGUGGAAAAUUAUAAGAUAUACAAACGGAAAGUAUAUCUAAAUCAUUUUCCAUCUCCUCUAACUGUAUUACCUUCUCCCACAUUCCAAAUUUCCUUUUCUAUUUAGUUUUUGAAAUUGAAAAUUUUUCAAACUAAAAGCUUGCAAUUCACUUACAUUUAAGUCAUCAAAUAUUGUUUCAUGAAAGAUUUUUAAUGUCAAGAAUUUUUUUGUCAUAAAUGUUUUAAGAACUUCCUCACCUCAUUUCCUUUCCCUAGAGAAAGAGUGACAAACUUCAAAAGGUUCAAAUUUCAUUUGAAGUAAAAAAAUCAAGCUUCAGAAGUUGUCUCUCUUUGGUGAAAGGAUAGUCUUUGUUCCUCAGUAGAAUCGACAGAAUGUUUGAACAUUCACCUGUGGAUUGUUUUUUUCUUUUAAGACAUCACACUGGACAGGACACCUCCUUUUCUGUCUUGAAAGGUGGUCUGUGAUCUCCUGAAGGAGCUCAGACUUAUGGUCUCUGCUUUGCACUGGUGGCCUGUGGUUUUCUCUACUAUGCCAACAGCCCUGGUGAUUCCAGGGAGGAACAGGGAAGGAGGAAGGCUACAUCCUAUGGAGUCCCUGCAAGAUGUCAAAAGAAGUCCCUGGACACCUCCUGCUUUUAGUCUCCCCCAGAGCAGGACACCCAGGGCUAUGAAGGAGGCACACAAAUCACUUUACCAAAGGACCCAUGCAUCUCAGAAAAGCAAAAUCACACAAAGUUAGGAUGAAGAGAAGUUAUACUUUUAUCUAACCUAGCAUUUCUUUUAUAGCAUACAAAGACUCAGAGGGGGUGUUGCAGAUGGCUAUUUCCUCUCUUUCCAACUCCUGUCUCUUCCCCCUUCUAUCUUUAAUUUCUCCUUCUUUCGACAUAGCCUAGUUUUUCAAAUCCUUUGACCAAUCCCCUCUCUCUAUCCAGGGAAACCCUCACUUUACCACAGGAAGAAAAUUUUCUGUUCCCAUCCUUUACCUCAGUUCCUCCCUGAACCUUGAAGACUUUAUUCUGUCCGGUAGUAAGAUGCAAUGCGUGUUCUCCUCUUUUCAUUGAUGACCUAUAUCCUUAGCUGAAAGUGAAAUGGUUCUUCAACUAGCAAAGAGAACUUCAACUGGUUUCCUCACUAGCAAGUUCACCUGCUGUUAUAGGUUGAAUUAUUUGUAGAAUUAUUUGGACUAUAUUUAGAGACAGUGUCUUCACAGAAGUAACCAAGUUAGCAUGAGGCCCCUAAUCCAAUUUGACUGGUGUCUUCAUUUAAAAAAAGGGGGGAUAUUUAGACACAAGGACACACAUACAGGGAGAAUGCCACAUGAAGGUGGAGGCAGAGACCAGGGAGAUGUAUCCAGAAGGCAAGGAACGCCAAAGAUUGCCAGCUAAAUACCAAAAGCUGAGAGAGAGGCACAGAACAGAUUUCUUCCCCACCCUCAGAAAGAACCAACCUUGGGAAUACUUUGAUCUCAGUCCCUUAUCCUCCAGAACUAUAAGACAAAGUUCUGUUGCUUAAACCACCCAGCUAGUGGUUCUCUACUACAGCAGCCCUAGCAUAAUACACCUGCCAAGAAAAGCAUUCGUUCUUUCUUGGAGACAGCACAGUCUGACCUGUAGUUAGCCCAGUCCUGCCCAUGAGGCUUUAAAUCCUCCGUGGUCCUAGCUUAUGAGAGGAACCUCUAUACCAGCUGCAGAGAGUUGUUUUGCAGUCUAAGAAGGGUGGUUCCAGAUCUCAAUUUUUAUGCCAAAGCUCCUUUCAUACCAACAGUCCCUGGACUCAAAAUCUGGCCAUUCUGCCCAGGGUUUUCCCCUCCAGGGCUCUGCCAGGGGAGCAGGGCACAUAUCCUGGCCCCUCCAGACCUACAAGUCCCACCAUUGCCUUCAUCUUCCUCCUCCCAGCUGGAAGGGAGUAUUUUCUAAACUCUGGGAAAGCCUUCCUUUUUUGUUCUCAGCCAAGAGAUUUUGUCUGCACCUGAGAUUCUUCUUCCAUAGUGGGAUUUAAGCUUUGGGAGAAAGCCAUGUAAGAUUAUGCUUUACCCCUGGUUUUCUCUCCACACAACCCUCCUCUCUCCUGAACACAGAGCCAGCUGAAAUUUGAACAUAAAAAUUAAAAAGAAUAGGAGCACACAGAAGAUGGCAGUGUGGGAAGACGCCGAGUUAGCAUCUCCCCACAACUAGGGUGACUGCUGGCUGCUGGUGGGGGGCCCUGAUGCCCAAGGAGAUGGGAGGAAGCCCCAAAUGAACCAGUAGGAUGUGGGAGGACUGAGGGAGGAGGAGAACUGGAGGCCAGACAGGAUUGGUGACCCUGAGGCCAGGGAGAUCAGGAGAGGCAGGCGGGACGGGCACACUGGGAGGAGCCAGAGAAGAGAAGAGGGCAUUUGCCCUGCCCACUCGAGCACAGGGAGCCUGCUGAGCUCCCAGGCUGGUCCUCUGCCCUCCAAAGUCCCCUCCAGGCCACGUGGAUCCUUGGGGACAUAGGAGGGAGGCUGGGAAGAUCAGAAGAGGCAGGUGGAAGGGGUCCUCUGAGGAGCAGGAGAGGAGUAGAGGGCAUCUGUGCUGCCUACUCGAGCCCAGGAAGCCUGUUGGGCUUCCAGGCCAGUCCCCUGCCCUCCAAGGCCACCCUGGCCACAUUGGUCCUGCGGGUAUAGGAGGGAGGCCAGGGAGAUCAAGAGAGGCAAGCAGGAGGAGACAACAGGGAAGAGAGGGAGAGGAGUGGAGGGCAUUUGCCGCACCCACUCGAGCCCAGGAAGCCUGCUGGGCUCCCAGGUGAUGUCCCCCACCCUCUGAGACCAGGGGUGGGGGGCACGCCUGGGCUCCUUCUGUUUCUUGAGCCUAAGCCUCACCUCCACAGUCCUGACAGCCUUUUCCAGCCCUGUGGGUUCUAAGCUUAGGCCCCACCCACCACCCAAAUCUCACCCUUGCUUAGGUCCCACAUGCCAUAACCAAGGCCUCCCCCCACCUUUUUUUUUUUUUUUUUCUUUUCCCUCCUCUUUUUUACUAUUGUCACACUGUUUUACCUUCUGGUUGUUGAUUCAUCUAUAUUUUUAUUUUUAUAUUCUUUCUAACAUAUCUGUUAGUUUCCUAGUCUAAUUUUAUUUUUUACUUUGUUAUUGUUCUCUUUUUUUUUUCUGUCCCACGUGGCUUGUGGGAUCUUGGUUCAUGAGCUGGAGGUCAGGCCAAAGCUCCUGCAGUGGGAUCCCCAAGCUCAAACCACUGGACUAACAGAGAACCACAGACCCCAGGGAAUAUUCAUCAGAGUGAGGUCUCACGGAGGUCCCCAUCUCAGCACCAAGACCCAUCUCUACCCAACAGCCUACAAAACUCCAGUGUUGGAAA